CACCGGCGGCUCGAGUGGUGGCCACUUUUAUUGGGUCUAAAGCGUCCGUAGCCGGCUUGGCAAGUCCCCUGGGAAAUCUGGCGGCUUAACCGUCAGGCGUCCAGAGGAUACUGCCAGGCUUGGGACCGGGAGAGGUGAGAGGUACCUCAGGGGUAGGGGUGAAAUCUUGUGAUCCCUGAGGGACCACCAGUGGCGAAGGCGUCUCACUAGAACGGGUCUGACGGUCAGGGACGAAAGCUGGGGGCACGAACCGG
rnacentral:rRNA from 1 species